UACGUAGGGUGCAAGCGUUGUCCGGAAUUAUUGGGCGUAAAGGGCUCGUAGGCGGUCCGUCACGUCGGGAGUGAAAACUUGGGGCUUAACCCCAAGCCUGCUUCCGAUACGGGCGGACUAGAGGUAGGCAGGGGAGAACGGAAUUCCUGGUGUAGCGGUGAAAUGCGCAGAUAUCAGGAGGAACACCGGUGGCGAAGGCGGGUCUCUGGGCCGUUAACCUGACGC
rnacentral:rRNA from 1 species